rnacentral:rRNA from 1 species
GACGAACGCUGGCGGCGUGCUUAACACAUGCAAGUCGAACGGUAAGGCCCUUCGGGGUACACGAGUGGCGAACGGGUGAGUAACACGUGGGUGAUCUGCCCUGCACUUCGGGAUAAGCCUGGGAAACUGGGUCUAAUACCGGAUAGGACCACUGCCUGCAUGGGUGGGGGUGGAAAGCUUGUGCGGGGGGGGAUGGGCCCGCGGCCUAGCAGGUUGUUGGUGGGGUGAUGGCCUACCAAGGCGACGACGGGUAGCCGGCCUGAGAGGGUGACCGGCCACACUGGGACUGAGAUACGGCCCAGACUCCUACGGGAGGCAGCAGUGGGGAAUAUUGCACAAUGGGCGCAAGCCUGAUGCAGCGACGCCGCGUGAGGGAUGACGGCCUUCGGGUUGUAAACCUCUUUCAGCACCGACGAAGCGCAAGUGACGGUAGGUGCAGAAGAAGGACCGGCCAACUACGUGCCAGCAGCCGCCGUAA